AUUGGUUGCCUAGGGCAACUCAGCAACUUUUCCUCUGGACAGGUUUUCAUAAAUCUACCCCCAGGAUCAACAUGACAGAUCGGUUAGGAUUGGUUGUUUCUCCAACCCCAUUGCUUUAGAAAUGGAUUCUGUAUACUGUACUUCAAAAGAGAACUCGUCUGGAUUGCUCAUCGC